AGAUCAUCAAAGUAAGGAAGACAAUUUCUUAAUGACAUAUCAAUGAAUCAGAUGAGGUAGAUCACAGAACUGCUCUUCUCCAGCUCCCUGAUAGUCUUUUAGGGCUUUUAUUGGGUAUAUGCCACACUUCAAAAUAAUGCUGCUCUGACAAUGUGACAACUCAUUUUCUUUGUUGCUAAAUGCUGUAAGCUAACACAGAUAGCCCCCUAAAUAGAAGAAUAAUGGAACCUAAACCCUGUGUGAGAAAUAUUUAUGUGAAGGAAUUUUGUCAUGGAAGCCAGAGGUUGUUUAUCUGAAGAAUAAUUAUGCAAGUAAUUUCUCACGAUUGGCUAUUAGAAGAAUUGAUGUCUGUCUUUUCCAACUUCAUGAUAAAUUUCCAUUGAGUUCAUUUUAUACUUAACCCUUUAAGUAUAAAGUAUAUACUUCAAGUAUAAAGUGUAAGGUUGCUUCAUUUCAUGGGCCCACCCAGGAUUUAAAGGUGUAUUCCCUGAAAGAAUUGGUUCCUUCCGGUGGGUUCCUGGCUGACUUCAAGAAUGAAGCUGCAGACACUUAUGGACUGGGAGGAGGCCCACGAGAAAAACAGGAAGAACAAGAGAAAGGCUGAGGCUCUAGUGGCUGCUUUGCAGACUUGCAGAGUCCAGGAUCCCCCAGGAACUUCCACUGAUUGCUACCUGUUACCAGUGUUAAAGCCAGGGCACUUUAAGAAGAAUUGCCCAAGCCACAAGAAAAA
rnacentral:lncRNA from 1 species